rnacentral:rRNA from 1 species
AAACUCCACAAUGCACGCAAGUGUGAUGGGGGGAUUCCAAGUGCUUUACCAACGGUAAGGCUUUUGCCAAGUGUAGAAAGCUUGGCGAAUAAGUGGUGGGCAAGACCGGUGCCAGCAGCCGCGGUAACACCGGCGCCACGAGUGGGGGCCACGAUUAUUGGGUCUAAAACAUCUGUAGCUGGUUUGGUAAAUUUUUUGUGAAAUUGUUUUGCUUAACAAAACAACGUGCAAGAAACACUGCCAGGCUUGGGAGUGGGAGGCGGUAGAGGUAUUCCUGGGGGAGCGGUAAAAUGUUUUAAUCCCUGGAGGACCACCUAUGGCGAAGGCAUCUAUCGAGAACACGUCCGACAGUGAGGGAUGAAGGCUAGGGGAGCGAUCCGGAUUAGAUACCCGAGUAGUCCUAGCAGUAAACACUGUGAGUUAGGUGCUGCAUAUUCUUCGCGAAUGUGCAGUGCCGUAGCGAAGGCAUUAAACUCACCACCUGGGGAGUAUGGUCGCAAGACUGAAACUUAAAGGAAUUGGCGGGGGCGCACUACAAGGAGUGAAGCGUGCGGUUCAAUUGGAUUCCACACCGGAAAUCUUACCAGGAGCGACGGCAAGAUGAAGGUCAGAUUAAAGGUUUUACCUGAUGAGCCGAGAGAUAGUGCAUGGCCGUCGUCAGUUCGUGCUGUGAGGUGUCCUGUUAAGUCAGGCAACGAACAAGACCUACAUCUCCAUUUGCUACCAGGCUGUUAAGUGACUGAGCACUAUGGAGAGACUGCCCGGGAAACUGGGAGGAAGGUGUAGGCAACGAUAGGUCAGUAUGCUUCGAAUCCCCUGGGCUACACGCGCGCGACAAUGGUAGGGACAAUGGGUCACAACUCCGAAAGGAGAAGUUAAUCCUCUAAACCCUACCUUAGUUUAGAUUGAGGGCUGAAACUCGCCCUCAUGAUACCGGAAUUCCUAGUAAUUGGGUUUCAUCAGAGCCCAGUGAAUAAGUCCCUG